rnacentral:lncRNA from 13 species
CUGCAGGAGCAGGCUGAUGCCAGCCAGGCACUGCGGGCAGAGCUGUCCCAGGAGCAGGCCAGGCAGCAGUAGCUGCAGGAGAGGAACCAGGGGGCCAGGGAGAGAGAGGGUCGACUGGAGUCAGAGAGAAACCAGCUCAGAACCAGCAUGGAAGCAGCUCACAGCUCACAGAUUGAGGGAGCGGGAGAGGACUGUGGGGUGCCUGCAGGAGCGUGUGGUAGAGCUGCAGAGCACCACCCAGAGGCUGCAGGAGGAACAGACAGCCUGCCAGGCUCAGCUGCGGCAGUGAAGGAGGGAGCUGGAGAGCAGGGAGGGCCAGAGACACAGCCCAGAGAUGAGCGUCUUUCAGGAGACGGUGUGCAGGCUGAGGGAGUGUGUAGAGGAGGCCCAGGCCAGCAGCAAGCAGGGGACCAGGGACACAGCAGCAGCACAACACAGCCUCAGAGAGCUGAGACUGGAGCUGGCCUCCACCCAGGCUUCCCAUAGAGAGAGCAUGGAGCUGGUGCGUGCCCUGCUUACACACAGCUGGCUGAGCAGAGUGGUGAGGCUGCAGGUCUACGUAGUGAGCUGUCCCGCCUGCAGCAGAGGAGCUCCCAGCUGUCAGAGGAGAGAGGGGGCCAGGAGGAGAGGACCAGGCAGCUGGCUGCAGAGCUCCACAGACUACGUACUACCAGCAGACACUGGACGAGGCAAGGGUCUGCAGGAGGAGAAGAAGAGGCUGAAGGCUGAGCUGGAAGAGAGCAUGAUUGAAGCCGAGAGUUUCAGGACCUCUCAAGCCAGUAUGAGUGGCCAGCGCAGUGCCCUGACCAGACCUCCCGUCCAGCUGCUCCACACAGAAUCUGCUCUGACUGCGACAGGAGCCUUGAGUGGCCAGAGAGACAACCUGUGGAGGAGGAGCUCUGGCUGCCAACCUGCAUCUGCGCUAGCCCCAGACUCAGCCUGUGUCUGCCUGGCAGGGAGGGGGGCCACGUUUGCUGCUGAGGUGGCCAGAAGAGUGGCCCUUAGGACCCUGGAGCGCAGACCCCUGCCAUGUGGCCACCACCGCUGGAGCAGACCCACUCUCUCAGCUGGGACAAGCCACGCCCUACACAUCUCAGGGAGGGACACUGGUGGGGGCUAG